rnacentral:rRNA from 1 species
UAGGGAAUCUUCCACAAUGGGCGAAAGCCUGAUGGAGCAACGCCGCGUGAGUGAUGAAGGUUUUCGGAUCGUAAAACUCUGUUGUUAGGGAAGAACACCCGAGAGAGGAUCUCGGACUGACGGUACCUAACGAGAAAGCCCCGGCUAACUACGUGCCAGCAGCCGCGGUAAUACGUAGGGGGCAAGCGUUGUCCGGAUUUACUGGGUGUAAAGGGUGCUCAGGCGGAUUUGUAAGUCAGAGGUGAAAUCUUACAGCUUAACUGUGAAACUGCCUUUGAUACUGCAAGCCUAGAGUAUGGAAGAGAGUGAUGGAAUAUCUGGUGUAGCAGUGAAAUGCGUAGAUAUCAGAUAGAACACCAAUGGCGAAGGCAGUCACUUGGUCCAUUACUGACGCUAAAGCACGAAAGCGUGGGUAGCAAACA